CCCAUUCCGAACAGAGAAGUUAAGCCCACUUGCGCCGAUGGUACUGCAAUACAAUGCGGGAGAGUAGGUAGCCGCCUUCU
rnacentral:rRNA from 1 species